rnacentral:ncRNA from 1 species
GUAAAUAGAGGCGCUUGUUACAAGAGUACUUCAGUCGAGGAUCCAAUCCAUUGACGCUGAACGAAAGGGUUGCGAGCCGAAAUGCGAACAGUGGAAAUGUUUGUGUUGGUAAUUUGGAUAAGAUCCACUUUACUCCUACAUGA